AACGUCUCAGUCAGCUAUCACUACUGCUGCAGGAAAUAAAUUCCCACAAUGGGCUCUUCCUCUCCUCCUCGGCCCAGCCGUUGUGCUCUGUGUCGUGCUCCUGAUGUGCAUCGGAUGCAUGGUCAUCUACUGCCUGCAAAAUCCUGUGUCUGGGUCUUACAACAUGUACCAAACUCACUUUAUGCGCCAGAGCAUCCAAGAUUUCAGCUGGAGGAGGAACAACAGCCAACAGAGGGUUCAGGCGUCCCUGGAUUGUG